UUUUCUCCUGUAAAGGAAAAUUGCGGUCACGGUACCAACAUUUCACUUUUAUGCAAACUUCACCUAAGCCUUUAAUUUGUGGCACCUAUGGUACCAAAUCUUUCAAAGCUCACACUGAAAGUCUAAAUGGAUGAUUUAUGUUACUUUGACCAUUAUUUACCAGAAAAUUGAACUUGACCAUAAUUUUAACUAUUUAAAUUUUAAAAAAAUUCAAAACAUAAACUACCUACCACUCUCCCUUUCUUCCCCAACCCCCAUAACCAAAUCCAAAAGCCAUCGCCAUGGUCAGAACCACAGGCUCAACCUCCAGCCUCACCAUCACCUUGAGACCAGGUAACACCACCUCAAAAGAAGGAAAUGUUAGGUGUGUUAUGAAACCAGGUACCAACACCCGAAAUUGUGAUGGUGUUAGUAGGUUCUUGCUGUGGCUGUGACGAUGGUAUUUCAAUCUCUUCUGCUGUUGAUGGCAACUAAUGGGUGAGUUUUGGUGUGUUAGUGGGUUCAAUCUUUGGCUAAUGGGUGGGAUUUUGUUGUGUAGUAGCUAUUGCAGCUUUUUAUUGGUGUUGACGGUGGCGUCGACGUUGGGUGGGUGUGUUGAUUUUUGGUUGCUGCCAAGAAUGUGGUAGGG
rnacentral:lncRNA from 1 species